rnacentral:rRNA from 1 species
AACGAACGCUGGCGGCAGGCCUAACACAUGCAAGUCGAACGAAGUCUUCGGACUUAGUGGCGCACGGGUGAGUAACACGUGGGAAUAUACCUUACGCUGGGGGAUAACAUCGGGAAACUGAUGCUAAUACCGCAUACGCCCUUCGGGGGAAAGAUUUAUCGGCGAAAGAUUAGCCCGCGUCCGAUUAGCUAGUUGGUGAGGUAAUGGCUCACCAAGGCUCCGAUCGGUAGCUGGUCUGAGAGGAUGACCAGCCACACUGGGACUGAGACACGGCCCAGACUCCUACGGGAGGCAGCAGUGGGGAAUAUUGGACAAUGGGCGCAAGCCUGAUCCAGCCAUGCCGCGUGAGUGAUGAAGGCCUUAGGGUUGUAAAGCUCUUUCGACGGGGACGAUGAUGACGGUACCCGUAGAAGAAGCCCCGGCUAACUUCGUGCCAGCAGCCGCAGUAA